CAGGGUGUGACAAUUGUGUUAUUAACUGUACUUUUGUUUAUCCCAUGUGCAACUCUGUGUUGUUGUUUAUUGUCACACCGCUUUGCUUUAUCUUAGAGACUAAUGUCUCUAUAUGAAAGGGAUAUAAUAUCCUUUUCAUACACAGACCAGAUUCCCACAAAUUUACCAUGGCUGCUUUUUUUAUGUCUGUUUUUUCAUAUAUCUGAUACCAGUACCCAUUUCAGACAAAAUACGGAAACGCUAUUAGCUCGCACCACCGCUAACUAGCUAGCCAUUUCAUAUACAUAUGCUUACAUAUGCUUCACAAAAAUAACAUGCUUGCUGUAGUAUAACGUUUAUUUUGAAUGUCUGCAUUUAUUAGAGUAGCCAGAUUUCAGAUGUGUCCAUGUAAACAGGAUUAUUAGCGACAUAGUUUUUCCUAAAACGUGCAAUACCUGUUAACAUUUUAAUCUAACUAGUCGUUGUGUACAUGUCUCCUUGCCCCUACCUGGGCUCGAACCAGGGACCCUCUGCACAUAUAGCCACUCUCGAAGCAUCGGUCCCCAUCGCUCCACAAAAGCCGUCCCUCCCCGUUUCGUUCUGUUUGCUUCCGUUUAAUAAACGUUUUUGCAACAAAAUCGGCGUAAUGAAUACAUCCCACCAAACGCUGGACCAUGACGUCAUCAAAAAAGGACAGCGGGCUAUCUCGCAAUCGUAAACAAAAGGAAAUUUGACCCUUGCAGUUUUUCUAUUCCUGGAAAGUCUCUCCGCACAUAGACCUUUGCAUAAACAGCUAGCGACAUUGUCAUAAUAUUAUAGGGCGAAAACGUGGUGGAUAUACGCACAGAGUCCUUAAAUAAAAGCUCCUCCGAUUAUGAACCUGUGAUUACAUUAAUAAACAAGAAGCACCAGCCCAAUGAGACCCAGUGUAAAAAUAGCCGGAAUAUCACUAGACACGAUUCCGGGUUAGAUGACACUUCAGAUGAUGAACCCUUGACAAAGUUGGAGAGACUUCCCAGACCUAAAAAAGCCACUGUACAAGCAAAGGGGCAAGGGACUACUUAUAUCAAAAGAGGAACAGGUAAUGGUAUCCAGAAGACAAAGAACAAGAUCGCAGGUUCAACCCAGGAUGAGGACUCCUAUGACAGCUCAGACAAUGAACCCUUGAUAAAGAUGGUUAAACAGACAUCGUUGCCAUUCAAAAAGAGACCCUUCAACAUAGCCAGAGAGGUUAACGAUGUGAAGGGCAGAAAUAAUGUCCAGAACACUCAUAACAUAUGCACAGACUCAUCAGGUGACAGCUCCGAUAAUGUGCCACUGAUCAAGAUGGUAGACAAGCUGAAGACACAAACCCGAACAAAGACACUCCCUACAACAGCCAGAGUAACACCCAGUAAAGUUCUUAAAAACCACAACAGGAGUAUAGUUGAGAACACACAGCAUCUCUUGUCUCUAUACUUUCACUAUGGCAUAAUAUGUCUGACAGUUGUAUCAUCUAAUCCAAUAGUCUUGUUUUCUGAUUACAUGGCCAGAAUCCUCCAAUGACAGCUCAGAGGAUGAACCAUUGAUUAAUCUAACCAGGUCUCCAUCUAAAGACACUGUGAGGACAAUACUGAAGAGCUGUGUUGCUAAAGAAUCCAACAGCAACAACUGUAGUCAAAGAAAAGGCAAAACCAGCAGAGAGGAAGAGGUGAAUUCUGAUUCUGACGACGAGCCCUUAAUUAGCCUAGUUAAAAAGCCUCUUAAAGCUGUAAAGAAGACCACGACACCAGCGAAGAAGAGUGUGCCAGGAAAGACAAACAAAGCAGUCAACAGAUGGCGCACCAACAUUGUUCAAAGCACAAGUGAAGGGUCUUUGGAUGAUAGAUUAGAUGAUGAGCUGUUGAUCAAGAAGAUGGUGAGGAAUCCAUCAAUGAAGAUCCCGAUGGUUAUUCUGGAGAGGUGUGAAACUAAAGAAGCCUUGGAAGAUUACUAUAGAGCCAAUGUGGGAAACGCUGGCGAAAGAAGUGCAGAUGGUCACGAAUUCCCCUCAUUCUUCACCAGAAGCUAUGGCAGAGAAGAGAAAUCAGUCACAAGACUGCUCUGACGAUGAACCUUUGAUAAAGAUGGUUGGAAACCCAGAGUCAUGAUUAUGGACUUGUAUAGAUACCGGAAUAGUACUUCAUUUUAGGAUUUUUUUAAAUGUUUACUUUUAUUUAACUAGGCAAGUCAGUUAAGAACAAAUUCUUAUUUUCAAUGACGGCCUAGGAACAGUAGGUUAACUGCCUGUUCAGGGGCAGAACGGCAGAUUUGUACCUUGUCAUCUCAGGGGUUUGAACUUGCAACCUUCUGGUUACUAGUCCAACACUCUAACCACAAUGCAUUACAGCAUUCAGUAACAAACUUGUCGAAGAUGGCACAAUAGUUACUGACACAACCACUUUUUUUCUUGCUUGAAUUUACUGUGUUAUGGUGAAAAUAAAUGUGUUGUCUAACUAUUAGGUGAUUUGGGAUAACUAUUUUCAUUUUUUAACCUGUGUUUUUCUAACUUAUUUAUUUUUGUGUCAUGUUUACCACAUGGACGCUCGUGGUAGCAUGUUUUAUAGUAUAUUUAUGGCCAUGCAAAAGUUUAACAAUAGGCCUGAUUAUUUUUAAUUGUUGACAAUUAUGGGUCUCCAGCUUAAUGAAUUAGAGUACAUUUGUGAUUAAUAGGGAGGAGUCAGGUACUCAAUUUCUUUUGACUGGAAUGUACCAUCAAAUAGGGAGCAGUACUAUUCAUUUUCAAACACUGAAACUGUAAUGUGCUUGUUACAGUCCACACGUAAUUUUGUGAAAUUACGUUAUAAAAAAAAAAAACAUGAAUUGUUUUUACAAUUUUAAUUAAAGAACAGAAGUUU